rnacentral:rRNA from 1 species
GACGAACGCUUGCGGCGUGCCUAAUACAUGCAAGUCGAGCGAGCUUGCUUAAAUGAAUUUGGUGCUUGCACCAAAUGAAACUAGAUACAAGCGAGCGGCGGACGGGUGAGUAACACGUGGGUAACCUGCCCAGAGACUGGGAUAACACCUGGAAACAGAUGCUGAUACCGGAUAACAACACUAGACGCAUGGCUAGAGUUCAAAAGAUGGUUCUGCUAUCACUCUUGGAUGGACCUGCGGUGCAUUAGCUAGUUGGCAAGGUAACGGCUUACCAAGGCAAUGAUGCAUAGCCGAGUUGAGAGACUGAUCGGCCACAUUGGGACUGAGACACGGCCCAAACUCCUACGGGAGGCAGCAGUAGGGAAUCUUCCACAAUGGACGCAAGUCUGAUGGAGCAACCCCUCCUGAGUGAAGAAGGGUUUCGGCUCGCAAAGCUCUGUUGGUAGUGAAGAAAGAUACAGGUAGUAACUGGCCUUUAUUUGACGGGAAUUACCUACAAAGUCACGGCUAACUACGUGCCAGCCGCCGGCGGUAAUACGUAGGUGGCAAGCGUUGCUCGGAUUUAUUGGGCGUAAAGCUAGUGGAAACGGUUCAAUAAGUCUGAUGUGAAAGCCUUCGGCUCAACCCGGAGAAUUGCAUCAGAAACUGUUGAACUUGAGUGCAGAAGAGGAGAGCGGAACUCCAUGUGUAGCGGUGGAAUGCGUAGAUAUAUGGAAGAACACCAGUGGCGAAGGCGGCUCUCUGGUCUGCAACUAACGCUGAGGCUCGAAAGCAUGGGUAGCGAACAGGAUUAGAUACCCUGGUAGUCCAUGCCGUAAACGAUGAGUGCUAAGUGUUGGGAGGUUUCCGCCUCUCAGUGCUGCAGCUAACGCAUUAAGCACUCCGCCUGGGGAGUACGACCGCAAGGUUGAAACUCAAAGGAAUUGACGGGGGCCCGCACAAGCGGUGGAGCAUGUGGUUUAAUUCGAAGCAACGCGAAGAACCUUACCAGGUCUUGACAUCCCUCUGACCUCUCUAGAGAUAGAGAUUUCCUUCGGGACAGAGGUGACAGGUGGUGCAUGGUUGUCGUCAGCUCGUGUCGUGAGAUGUUGGGUUAAGUCCCGCAACGAGCGCAACCCCUAUUGUUAGUUGCCAUCAUUCAGUUGGGCACUCUAGCGAGACUGCCGGUAAUAAACCGGAGGAAGGUGGGGAUGACGUCAAAUCAUCAUGCCCCUUAUGACCUGGGCUACACACGUGCUACAAUGGCUGGUACAACGAGUCGCAAGCCGGUGACGGCAAGCUAAUCUCUUAAAGCCAGUCUCAGUUCGGAUUGUAGGCUGCAACUCGCCUACAUGAAGUCGGAAUCGCUAGUAAUCGCGGAUCAGCACGCCGCGGUGAAUACGUUCCCGGGCCU